rnacentral:rRNA from 1 species
CGGCAGCAUGAUCUAGCUUGCUAGAUUGAUGGCGAGUGGCGAACGGGUGAGUAAUACAUCGGAACGUGCCCUGUAGUGGGGGAUAACUAGUCGAAAGAUUAGCUAAUACCGCAUACGACCUGAGGGUGAAAGUGGGGGACCGCAAGGCCUCAUGCUAUAGGAGCGGCCGAUGUCUGAUUAGCUAGUUGGUGGGGUAAAGGCCCACCAAGGCGACGAUCAGUAGCUGGUCUGAGAGGACGAUCAGCCACACUGGGACUGAGACACGGCCCAGACUCCUACGGGAGGCAGCAGUGGGGAAUUUUGGACAAUGGGCGAAAGCCUGAUCCAGCAAUGCCCGCGUGUGUGAAGAAGGCCUUCGGGUUGUAAAGCACUUUUGUCCGGAAAGAAAUGGCUCUGGUUAAUACCUGGGGUCGAUGACGGUACCGGAAGAAUAAGGACCGGCUAACUACGUGCCAGCAGCCGCGGUAAUACGUAGGGUCCAAGCGUUAAUCGGAAUUACUGGGCGUAAAGCGUGCGCAGGCGGUUGUGCAAGACCGAUGU